rnacentral:rRNA from 1 species
GUCCACGCCGUAAACGAUGUCAACUAGCCGUUUGGUUCCUUGAGGACUUAGUGGCGCAGCUAACGCAUUAAGUUGACCGCCUGGGGAGUACGGCCGCAAGGUUAAAACUCAAAUGAAUUGACGGGGGCCCGCACAAGCGGUGGAGCAUGUGGUUUAAUUCGAAGCAACGCGAAGAACCUUACCAGGCCUUGACAUCUACAGAACUUUCCAGAGAUGGAUUGGUGCCUUCGGGAACUGUAAGACAGGUGCUGCAUGGCUGUCGU